rnacentral:rRNA from 1 species
AUUGAACGCUGGCGGCAGGCCUAACACAUGCAAGUCGAGCGGAUGAAGGGAGCUUGCUCCUGGAUUCAGCGGCGGACGGGUGAGUAAUGCCUAGGAAUCUGCCUGCUAGUGGGGGCUAACGUCCGAAACGGGCCCUUAUACCGGAUCAGGCCUCGUGGGGUAAGUUGGGGCUCCUUCGCACUCACGCUAUUAGGUGGGACUAGGUCGGACUAGUUAGUUGGUGGGGUAAAGGCCUACCAAGGCGACGAUCCGUAACUGGUCUGAGAGGAUGAUCAGUCACACUGGAACUGAGACACGGUCCAGACUCCUACGGGAGGCAGCAGUGGGGAAUAUUGGUCAAUGGGCGAAAGCCUGAUCCAGCCAUGCCGCGUGUGUGAAGAAGGUCUUCGGAUUGUAAAGCACUUUAAGUUGGGAGGAAGGGCAGUAAGUUAAGACCUUGCUGUUUUGACGUUACCAACAGAAUAAGCACCGGCUAACUUCGUG